GAUGAACGCUGGCGGCGUGCCUAAUACAUGUAAGUCGAGCGAAUGGAUUAAGAGCUUGCUCUUAUGAAGUUAGCGGCGGACGGGUGAGUAACACGUGGGUAACCUGCCCAUAAGACUGGGAUAACUCCGGGAAACCGGGGCUAAUACCGGAUAACAUUUUGAACCGCAUGGUUCGAAAUUGAAAGGCGGCUUCGGCUGUCACUUAGGGAUGGACCCGCGUCGCAUUAGCUAGUUGGUGAGGUAACGGCUCACCAAGGAAACGAUGCGUAGCCGACCUGAGAGGGUGAUCGGCCACACUGGGACUGAGACACGGCCCAGACUCCUACGGGAGGCAGCAGUAGGGAAUCUUCCGCAAUGGACGAAAGUCUGACGGAGCAACGCCGCGUGAGUGAUGAAGGCUUUCGGGUCGUAAAACUCUGUUGUUAGGGAAGAACAAGUGCUAGUUGAAUAAGCUGGCACCUUGACGGUACCUAACCAGAAAGCCACGGCUAACUACGUGCCAGCCGCCGCGGUAA
rnacentral:rRNA from 1 species